rnacentral:rRNA from 1 species
UACGUAGGGGGCAAGCGUUGUCCGGAUUUAUUGGGCGUAAAGAGCGUGUAGGCGGCUUCACAGGUCCGCUGUGAAAACUGGAGGCUUAACCUCCAGACGUCGGUGGAAACCGUAUGACUAGAGUCCGGAAGAGGAGAGUGGAAUUCCUGGUGUAGCGGUGAAAUGCGCAGAUAUCAGGAAGAACACCCGUGGCGAAGGCGGCUCUCUGGGACGGUACUGACGCUGAGACGCGAAAGCGUGGGGAGCGAACAGG